rnacentral:rRNA from 1 species
GCAGUCGAACGCGUUGGCCCAAUUGAUUGAUGGUGCUUGCACCUGAUUGAUUUUGGUCGCCAACGAGUGGCGGACGGGUGAGUAACACGUAGGUAACCUGCCCAGAAGCGGGGGACAACAUUUGGAAACAGAUGCUAAUACCGCAUAACAGCGUUGUUCGCAUGAACAACGCUUAAAAGAUGGCUUCUCGCUAUCACUUCUGGAUGGACCUGCGGUGCAUUAGCUUGUUGGUGGGGUAACGGCCUACCAAGGCGAUGAUGCAUAGCCGAGUUGAGAGACUGAUCGGCCACAAUGGGACUGAGACACGGCCCAUACUCCUACGGGAGGCAGCAGUAGGGAAUCUUCCACAAUGGGCGCAAGCCUGAUGGAGCAACACCGCGUGAGUGAAGAAGGGUUUCGGCUCGUAAAGCUCUGUUGUUAAAGAAGAACACGUAUGAGAGUAACUGUUCAUACGUUGACGGUAUUUAACCAGAAAGUCACGGCUAACUACGUGCCAGCAGCCGCGGUAAUACGUAGGUGGCAAGCGUUAUCCGGAUUUAUUGGGCGUAAAGAGAGUGCAGGCGGUUUUCUAAGUCUGAUGUGAAAGCCUUCGGCUUAACCGGAGAAGUGCAUCGGAAACUGGAUAACUUGAGUGCAGAAGAGGGUAGUGGAACUCCAUGUGUAGCGGUGGAAUGCGUAGAUAUAUGGAAGAACACCAGUGGCGAAGGCGGCUACCUGGUCUGCAACUGACGCUGAGACUCGAAAGCAUGGGUAGCGAACAGGAUUAGAUACCCUGGUAGUCCAUGCCGUAAACGAUGAGUGCUAGGUGUUGGAGGGUUUCCGCCCUUCAGUGCCGGAGCUAACGCAUUAAGCACUCCGCCUGGGGAGUACGACCGCAAGGUUGAAACUCAAAGGAAUUGACGGGGGCCCGCACAAGCGGUGGAGCAUGUGGUUUAAUUCGAAGCUACGCGAAGAACCUUACCAGGUCUUGACAUCUUGCGCCAACCCUAGAGAUAGGGCGUUUCCUUCGGGAACGCAAUGACAGGUGGUGCAUGGUCGUCGUCAGCUCGUGUCGUGAGAUGUUGGGUUAAGUCCCGCAACGAGCGCAACCCUUGUUACUAGUUGCCAGCAUUAAGUUGGGCACUCUAGUGAGACUGCCGGUGACAAACCGGAGGAAGGUGGGGACGACGUCAGAUCAUCAUGCCCCUUAUGACCUGGGCUACACACGUGCUACAAUGGACGGUACAACGAGUCGCGAACUCGCGAGGGCAAGCAAAUCUCUUAAAACCGUUCUCAGUUCGGACUGCAGGCUGCAACUCGCCUGCACGAAGUCGGAAUCGCUAGUAAUCGCGGAUCAGCAUGCCGCGGUGAAUACGUUCCCGGGCCUUGUACACACCGCCCGUCACACCAUGAGAGUUUGUAACACCCAAAGUCGGUGGG